rnacentral:rRNA from 1 species
UGGAGGGGGGAUAACUACUGGAAACGGUAGCUAAUACCGCAUAACGUCGCAAGACCAAAGUGGGGGACCUUCGGGCCUCAUGCCAUCAGAUGUGCCCAGAUGGGAUUAGCUAGUAGGUGGGGUAACGGCUCACCUAGGCGACGAUCCCUAGCUGGUCUGAGAGGAUGACCAGCCACACUGGAACUGAGACACGGUCCAGACUCCUACGGGAGGCAGCAGUGGGGAAUAUUGCACAAUGGGCGCAAGCCUGAUGCAGCCAUGCCGCGUGUGUGAAGAAGGCCUUCGGGUUGUAAAGCACUUUCAGCGGGGAGGAAGGCGAUAAGGUUAAUAACCUUGUCGAUUGACGUUACCCGCAGAAGAAGCACCGGCUAACUCCGUGCCAGCAGCCGCGGUAAUACGGAGGGUGCAAGCGUUAAUCGGAAUUACUGGGCGUAAAGCGCACGCAGGCGGUCUGUCAAGUCGGAUGUGAAAUCCCCGGGCUCAACCUGGGAACUGCAUUCGAAACUGGCAGGCUAGAGUCUUGUAGAGGGGGGUAGAAUUCCAGGUGUAGCGGUGAAAUGCGUAGAGAUCUGGAGGAAUACCGGUGGCGAAGGCGGCCCCCUGGACAAAGACUGACGCUCAGGUGCGAAAGCGUGGGGAGCAAACAGGAUUAGAUACCCUGGUAGUCCACGCCGUAAACGAUGUCGAUUUGGAAGGUUGUGCCCUUGAGGCGUGGCUUCCGGAGCUAACGCGUUAAAUCGACCGCCUGGGGAGUACGGCCGCAAGGUUAAAACUCAAAUGAAUUGACGGGGGCCCGCACAAGCGGUGGAGCAUGUGGUUUAAUUCGAUGCAACGCGAAGAACCUUACCUGGUCUUGACAUCCACAGAACUUUCCAGAGAUGGAUUGGUGCCUUCGGGAACUGUGAGACAGGUGCUGCAUGGCUGUCGUCAGCUCGUGUUGUGAAAUGUUGGGUUAAGUCCCGCAACGAGCGCAACCCUUAUCCUUUGUUGCCAGCGGUCCGGCCGGGAACUCAAAGGAGACUGCCAGUGAUAAACUGGAGGAAGGUGGGGAUGACGUCAAGUCAUCAUGGCCCUUACGACCAGGGCUACACACGUGCUACAAUGGCAUAUACAAAGAGAAGCGACCUCGCGAGAGCAAGCGGACCUCAUAAAGUAUGUCGUAGUCCGGAUUGGAGUCUGCAACUCGACUCCAUGAAGUCGGAAUCGCUAGUAAUCGUAGAUCAGAAUGCUACGGUGAAUACGUUCCCGGGCCUUGUACACACCGCCCGUCACACCAUGGGAGUGGGUUGCAAAAGAAGUAGGUAGCUUAACCUUCGGGAGGGCGCUUACCACUUU